rnacentral:rRNA from 1 species
GAUUAAGCCAUGCAUGUGUAAGUAUAAAUAGUUAACUUUGAAACUGCGAAUGGCUCAUUAUAUCAGUUAUAGUUUAUUUGAUGAAGAAUACUAAUUGGAUAACCGUAGUAAUUCUAGAGCUAAUACAUGUAUAAAGUCUUGUAGACAGCAUUUAUUAGAAUGAAAACCAUAGGUUUCGGCCUAUUCGUGAGUAAUAAUAACUAAUCAUAUCGUAUGCUUAUGUAACGAUGUGUCUUUCAAGUUUCUGCCCUAUCAGCUUUCGAUGGUAGUGUAUUGGACUACCAUG